UGAGGAAUAUUGGUCAAUGGGCGAGAGCCUGAACCAGCCAAGUCGCGUGCAGGAAGACGGCCCUAUGGGUUGUAAACUGCUUUUAUAAGGGAAUAAAGUGAGUCUCGUGAGACUUUUUGCAUGUACCUUAUGAAUAAGGACCGGCUAAUUCCGUGCCAGCAGCCGCGGUAAUACGGAAGGUCCGGGCGUUAUCCGGAUUUAUUGGGUUUAAAGGGAGCGUAGGCCGGAGAUUAAGCGUGUUGUGAAAUGUAGGCGCUCAACGUCUGCACUGCAGCGCGAACUGGUUUCCUUGAGUACGCACAAAGUGGGCGGAAUUCGUGGUGUAGCGGUGAAAUGCUUAGAUAUCACGAAGAACUCCGAUUGCGAAGGCAGCUCACUGGAGCGCAACUGACGCUGAAGCUCGAAAGUGCGGGUAUCGAACA
rnacentral:rRNA from 1 species